rnacentral:rRNA from 1 species
UACGAAGGGGACUAGCGUUGCUCGGAAUGACUGGGCGUAAAGGGCGCGUAGGCGGUUUGGACAGUCAGAUGUGAAAUUCCUGGGCUCAACCUGGGGGCUGCAUUUGAUACGUUCGGACUAGAGUGGGGAAGAGGGUCGUGGAAUUCCCAGUGUAGAGGUGAAAUUCGUAGAUAUUGGGAAGAACACCGGUGGCGAAGGCGGCGACCUGGUCCUUGACUGACGCUGAGGCGCGAAAGCGUGGGGAGCAAACAGG